GACGAACGCUGGCGGCGUGCUUAACACAUGCAAGUCGAACGGAAAGGCCCUGCUUUUGUGGGGUGCUCGAGUGGCGAACGGGUGAGUAACACGUGAGUAACCUGCCCUUGACUUUGGGAUAACUUCAGGAAACUGGGGCUAAUACCGGAUAGGAGCUCCUGCUGCAUGGUGGGGGUUGGAAAGUUUCGGCGGUUGGGGAUGGACUCGCGGCUUAUCAGCUUGUUGGUGGGGUAGUGGCUUACCAAGGCUUUGACGGGUAGCCGGCCUGAGAGGGUGACCGGCCACAUUGGGACUGAGAUACGGCCCAGACUCCUACGGGAGGCGGCAAUGGGGAAUAUUGCACAAUGGGCGGAAGCCUGAUGCAGCAACGCCGCGUGCGGGAUGACGGCCUUCGGGUUGUAAACCGCUUUCGCCUGUGACGAAGCGUGAGUGACGGUAAUGGGUAAAGAAGCACCGGCUAACUACGUG
rnacentral:rRNA from 1 species